CUGAGGUGACCAACUCAGGAGCAGUAAGAAGCACAGAUUACCUUGUCAUCCUUUCCUCACUUCUUUCCUGCUGAUCAAUAAGGCUUGGCUGUAACAGUGCUAUUGUUUUUCAUACAAUCA
rnacentral:lncRNA from 9 species